AAGUCGGAAUCGCUAGUAAUCGCGGAUCAGCAUGUCGCGGUGAAUACGUUCCCGGGUCUUGUACACACCGCCCGUCACACCAUGGGAGUGGGUUUUACCAGAAGUAGUUAGCCUAACCGUAAGGGGGGCGAUUACCACGGUAGGAUUCAUGACUGGGGUGAAGUCGUAACAAGGUAGCCGUAUCGGAAGGUGCGGCUGGAUCACCUCCUUUCAGA
rnacentral:rRNA from 1 species